CGCUGAGUAACUGAGAAUUAUUAUUUUGAGUUAGUUUGACUCAUUCUGUAUAAAUCGAAGCAGAACUAGAAAAUGAGUUCACAGUGAAAAUUUGAAGAAGUCUAACGGUCGCUGAUAAAACUUCAUAACUAAAAUCAUAAAGCAGCAAUCCAAAGUAACUGAAGUACAACUAUUCAGACAAGAUUGUAGUUUUGGGACUUUGGCAGCACCCUCAUACACUACGUUAGAUAUCAGCAUCAGUAAUCUUUAUAUUAAGAUACCCAGAUACUGUUCAAAUCCGAUAUGAAGGCUCAAAGGAGGUUUAGGAAGAGGUCCACGGUUAGAACCCUAACUAACGA